GACCUGGUAGUGAAGGGUAUCACAUCCGCACUCAUUAAUGGAUGCAGCUCAUGGGCAUUUCUGCGGAAGGUCCUGGUUCGACUCCAGGCUAGGUCG